rnacentral:rRNA from 1 species
GACGAACGCUGGCGGCGUGCUUAACACAUGCAAGUCGAACGGAAAGGCCCUGCUUUUGUGGGGUGCUCGAGUGGCGAACGGGUGAGUAACACGUGAGUAACCUGCCCUUGACUUUGGGAUAACUUCAGGAAACUGGGGCUAAUACCGGAUAGGAGCUCCUGCUGCAUGGUGGGGGUUGGAAAGUUUCGGCGGUUGGGGAUGGACUCGCGGCUUAUCAGCUUGUUGGUGGGGUAGUGGCUUACCAAGGCUUUGACGGGUAGCCGGCCUGAGAGGGUGACCGGCCACAUUGGGACUGAGAUACGGCACAGACUCCUCCGGGACGCAGCAGUGGGGAAGAUUGCACAAUGGGCGGAAGCCUGAUGCAGCAACGCCGCGUGCGGGAUGACGGCCUUCGGGUUGUAAACCGCUUUCGCCUGUGACGAAGCGUGAGUGACGGUAAUGGGUAAAGAAGCCCCGGCUAACUACGUG